UAGGGAAUCUUCGGCAAUGGGGGCAACCCUGACCGAGCAACGCCGCGUGGGUGAAGAAGGUUUUCGGAUCGUAAAGCUCUGUUGUAAGAGAAGAACGUGUGUGAGAGUGGAAAGUUCACACAGUGACGGUAACUUACCAGAAAGGGACGGCUAACUACGUGCCAG
rnacentral:rRNA from 1 species